rnacentral:rRNA from 1 species
AGCGGCAAACGGGUGCGUAACACGUGAGAAACUUGCCUUAAAGUAGGGAAUAGCUCAGGGAAACUUGAAUUAAUACCUUAUGUGGUGGUGGUCGGCAUCGAUCAUUUACUAAAGCUUGUGAUGGCGCUUUAAGAGAGGCUCGCGGCCUAUCAGCUAGUUGGCGGGGUAGUAGCCCACCAAGGCAAAGACGGGUAGCUGGUCUGAGAGGAUGAUCAGCCACAUUGGAACUGAGACACGGUCCAAACACCUACGGGUGGCAGCAGUUUCGAAUCAUUCACAAUGGGGGAAACCCUGAUGCAGCGACGCCGCGUGAGGGAAGACGGUUUUCGGAUUGUAAACCUCUGUCUUUGGGGACGAAUAGAUGACGGUACCCAAGGAGGAAGCCACGGCUAACUACGUGCCAGCAGCCGCGGUAAUACGUAGGUGGCAAGCGUUGUCCGGAAUUACUGGGUGUAAAGGGAGCGUAGGCGGGUCUACAAGUUGAUUGUAUAAACGAUCGGCUCAACUGGUCGUGGCGAUCAAAACUGUAGAUCUUGAGUGGAGUAGAGGCAGGCGGAAUUCCUAGUGUAGCGGUGAAAUGCGUAGAUAUUAGGAGGAACACCAGUGGCGAAGGCGGCCUGCUGGGCUCUAACUGACGCUGAGGCUCGAAAGCGUGGGUAGCAAACAGGAUUAGAUACCCUGGUAGUCCACGCCGUAAACGAUGAUUACUAGGUGUGGGUGGACUGACCCCAUCCGUGCCGGAGUUAACACAAUAAGUAAUCCACCUGGGGAGUACGACCGCAAGGUUGAAACUCAAAGGAAUUGACGGGGGCCCGCACAAGCAGUGGAGUAUGUGGUUUAAUUCGACGCAACGCGAAGAACCUUACCAGGUCUUGACAUCGAGUGACGAGCGUAGAGAUACGCUUUCCCUUCGGGACACGAAGACAGGUGGUGCAUGGUUGUCGUCAGCUCGUGUCGUGAGAUGUUGGGUUAAGUCCCGCAACGAGCGCAACCCUUAUCCUUAGUUGCUACGCAAGAGCACUCUAGGGAGACUGCCGUGGAUAACACGGAGGAAGGUGGGGAUGACGUCAAAUCAUCAUGCCCUUUAUGACCUGGGCUACACACGUACUACAAUGGCGCUUAACAGAGAGCAGCGACACCGCGAGGUGAAGCAAACCCCUAAAAAGCGUCCCAGUUCGGAUCGUAGGCUGCAACUCGCCUACGUGAAGUCGGAAUUGCUAGUAAUCGCGGAUCAGCAUGCCGCGGUGAAUACGUUCCCGGGCCUUGCACACACAGCCCGUCA